rnacentral:rRNA from 1 species
CGUGAGGCGGAGCAAAACACAAAACACAGUCUCAGUUCAGAUUGUAGGCUGAAACUCGCCUAUAUGAAGUCGGAAUUGCUAGUAAUCGCGGAUCAGCAUGCCGCGGUGAAUACGUUCCCGGGCCUUGUACACACCGCCCGUCACACCAUGAGAGUCGAUAACACCCGAAGCCUGUAGUCUAACAGCAAUGAGGACGCAGUCGAAGGUGGGAUUGAUAGUUAGGGUGAAGUCGUAACAAGGUACC